UACAGAGGUCUCGAGCGUUUGUUCGGAUUCAUUGGGCGUAAAGGGUGUGUAGGUGGCGCCGUAAGUCGGGUGUGAAAUUUCGGAGCUUAACUCCGAAACUGCAUUCGAUACUGCCGGUGCUUGAGGACUGGAGAGGAGACGUGGAAUUAUGGUGUAGCAGUGAAAUGCGUAGAGUAUCGAUGAGGAAGACCAGUGGCGAAGGCGGGUCUCUGGACAGUUCCUGA
rnacentral:rRNA from 1 species